UUGAGGAUAGGAACAGCAACUUCGGUGUUGGUGUGUGCGUGAAGGGGUGUAUUGAUAUGUAUUAGGAAGAUAUAUUAGGAAGCAAAUCUUUUUUUGUUGUUUUUUGUUUUUGUUUUGGAGUAAAGCUGACCAGAAGCAAAACUUUGUUUUAAAGCAUGAUUGAAGACAUUAUAAAAUGGUAACUACUUAUAAAGAAGACAGCAUUUUGAUAACACCAAAUAUUACUGCCUUUAUUAUUUGAAUAUUAUAACAUUUCCACAGGAAUAAUUGCUAUACCAUGUAUUAAUACCAAAAAUGUGGUUCACCGGGUUAUUCUAAAUUCUCACAACAGCAUCUUUAAUAAGAAUGAUGCAUUUGCUAUGAUGGCUCAGAUUUUAUUCAGCUAAAUACAGCCUUUGCUGAUCUGCUAUUUUGUACUUGACAAUGAAGGAAGUUCUGAGAUACUUUCCCUGAGAUAACUUUCACAAAGGGAUCAGUCUUCAUCACCUGCAUCAGAGUGCCCAUUAAGUGAUAAAGUGGGGACUGCUGAUUUAGGGAUUUAUUUGGAUUUCUGAAUAGAAUUCAAAAGAAAUGGGGCUGGUUUUGGCAAUAGUUCUGUUUCUUCUGUGUAUAUUCUUCCUCCUCUUCUUCUCAUCCUUCCAAAUGUACAAGAAGAAAAGGCACCUGCCAGCAGGUCCAGCUCCCCCGCCUUUCCUGGGGAACCUCUUCCAGAAAGACGUUGUGCCUUUGUAUAAAUGUUACCCUAAGGUCUAAUCAACACAAAGGAAGCACGUUCGAGGGGGCUGUGUCGAUUCACCCUUUCCAUCUUGUGUGACUUUGGGAUGGGAAAGAAGAUCAUGUGUGAAAGAGCGUGGGCAGAAGCUGUUUUCCUGAGGCAGGAGAUAGCAGCCAC